AUAUUUCCAGGAACUGAAGAUGAAAACCUGAUGGCAAAGGACUUCUACAGCUGGAGAAGAGGGUGCAGAAGAGAUAGCAGUGUUAGCAUCUUGAUUGUGAGUACUUCUGGGAAAUACUAAGAUCCGAGGCAUCAGUUCCAGGUACCUGUCUGGAAAAGAAGAACUAUGUUCCCCAAGAGCCUUUUCGAGUACUGUUAUCAUUCCUACUCAAGGGAACAGAUAUAAGGGUGCAAGUCAUCUGUCUUGUCCCUCUUCUCAUCUCGCCGUGUUCCCUGUCGGAUCGGCUCACUACUGCUGCUGCCGACUGCACGCAAGGCUUCAGUAUUAGCGUAAGGCCUUUGGCUCUCGGACAAUCUUUCUCUCAAUUAUUGCUGAUUUAUAUUGUAUUAUAGUGUGUUAUCUUACAUUCUGAUACUAUAUUUAGUAAAUUAGUUUGUUUCUCCUC
ensembl:lncRNA